rnacentral:lncRNA from 1 species
UCGGGUUGUCGAAAAACACAUCCUGUCCCAGUUCAUCGCCUAGGAAGGGGUACAUCAGGUGAGUUAUCACGGGUACAUGAAUUUCUGCUCCAAGUUUACUUAUUGAAUAAAGAAUGAAUUUCUGCUACAAGUAAAAUAUGAAAGAUGGCUUUAAUGUUAUGUCAUGGUAUCUCCUUUACUGAAAAAGAACAGAAUUACAUAAACCUGUAUCAAUGGUAGUAGGGAAUUUUAUAUUUGAAUAACUGAAUGGAAAUACUAAAUCUAAAUGUAAAAAAAUUAACAUUCAAGCUAUCUUUCACCUCCAUCCAGCAAAGAAAACAGAAACACAUUAAUCACCGAUUCUGGACAACAUUGAAGCGAAGUGAUAAUGAUAUGGUUUUUGAAAUAGUUUUUGUCCCUUCAAUGCUAAUUGUCGUUCAAUGUGACAAUCAGUGUCUUGAUUGUUGGCUUCCAGCUUCGCUCUCGAAUUUUUACGUGAUCUAAAAGUCAGUAUAUUAGUCCAUCUUAGAAGAAACUCUCCAUGGUAUUCUGUAUGUAAUUUCCAAAAGAUGGAGCUUUAAUUGUGCUCCGUCAUGGCAGCAUGUUAUUCUUGCCUAGUUUUAGUUUUCAAGAAAUGUGAAUUUUGUCUCCCCCUUUUUCUUAAUAGGACCUAGUAGUAGUUUAAUCAUGAUCGUAUUCUCGAGAUCUAGCAACCGAUACGAAGUCGAGUCAUCAUGCUACAGAGCUUCUUUCUGGAAUUAUGAAAACUUUGGAACAAUAUAAAAUUUUCAUUUUGACAGUUCCCUGUCUUCUUUUUCUGAAACCAAGCAAGAAAAAACAAUCUUAUUCCUUUUCUGAGAUGUUCCAGGAAUACUUCUCUGUGCGAAAACAAAGCUCGCUAAAUCUCGCCUUGCGGCAUAUUUUGCUGAGGGGACGUCGGUUGUUGAAGACAAGUAUGUUGAAUCUGCUUCACCAAUUAUACAUGCCCUAUUUUCCUGACAUGCCUUAUGCUGCUAUUGCUAAUUUCAUUCAGAGUGAUAAAAUAAUAAAGGCAGCUUGAUGUCUAUGUUCCAGUGUCGGACACUGAUGCAUCGAGUUGUCUUAUUAAUGUUAUUAAUGUUCUGAAAGAGAUUGUUAAUUAAGCAUGCAAAACUCUCUUGAUUGGAGAAAAUUGUGGAAACAUAUGCUAGUCUGCGUACUAUCUUUAUAUUGUCACUGGCUAUCAACAUAAAACACUUUUCAGUCCCAAGAUAAUACUCCCUCCGUUCCAGUUUAUGUGGCAACAUUUCCUUUUUAGUCCGUUUCAAAAAGAAUAAUAGCAUUCUAAAUUUGGAAACAAUUUAACUUAAACUUCCCAUUUUACUCUUAAUGAGAAGCUUUUAUCGCCACCUUCAUUAUGUUAAAGAUGGUGAACUUUAUUUGUAUAGAUACACCAACUCAGAGUGCAAGAAAAUGAGGAAAAUUAGCAAGAUAUAUCGGGCGCUUGUAAGUGGUGUGAUUGAUAUGGAUGAGGUAUUAUUAUAGCAUUAUUCUCACUUACAUUCCCCCUUUUAUCCUUCUAUGCGUGUUUUACAUUGUAACCUUCUAACACUUUUUCUCGCCUCAGUUUGUCUGGUUUCAUUUUGUCCGUUGGAGUGUCUGUUCUAGGGUAGCCAAUCCAUUGGGUUAUUGGAAAUUAAAAGUAAUUUUGACUGAUAGGUUGUCAUCAAGCAACCAAUUGGGACGAUUAAAUAUCCUGGAGUUGCUAAAGGGUUGUAUGUUGCUUCUCCUUCAGGUUUUCAAAUUUGUUUAUUUUGGAUAAACAGUCUCCUGGAUUAGUUUUUAUAAAGAUUCCUUCAGUUGUUACCAUUUCCAGUGGUGCUUCAAAAGACACUAUUUUUGGCUUAAAUUCCUUCUGAACUUCGUUUCCAGGGAAGCCAGCUCUGAGCAGUGUUCGCGUUCUUGAAAGAGAUUUAGAGAAUAACAGCACAUUGGUCCAGGUAAUAGAAGUCAAAGACAUAAGAAAUUUAUUACUAUAGCCACCUUCCUUAACCUUCCCUACCCUGGAGAAGGAGAUGGAACCUUAAUAUUUUCUUUCCUACAUGUUGUGUGUUAUGAACAGGUUGAAAUUCAAUCUGGAAGGCCACACCAAAUCCGUAUCCACCUCUCUUUCAUUGGACUUCCACUAAUUGGUAAUCUGAAAUUUUAUAAGACAUUCUCCUCCAUCACAAAAAGAUAAAAAGAAAAAUAGAAGUAGAACUCAGUUUGUCUGUUAAAAGAAAUGCCCAAAAAAAAAAAGAAUAGAUGACACAUAAAGUUCACCAACUUCAGAUGGCCAAACCAUAUGUUGACCAGUACUUCGACUCUGGUUUGGUGCAACGCACACGUUCAUAGUUCUUAGUUCUAUGAAACCAUAUCAGUAAUAUCUACCUUAGUGCACGAGUAAUGGAGAAAAGGUGAUUGAAGAACCUCAGACUAUACAUUGGGUUAUGAUAAGAGAAUGAUCUUGGAAUACUUCCUCAACUAAGUCUGUGGAUUUUGCAUCUUCUUUUGUUACAGAAAUGCCAAUGAUCAUUCUGAUGAAGAUGAUAUGAGGCCCUCUACUUCUAGAAAAUAUGUGAUUGAAACGAUGGGGGGUUGGAAUGUGUUUUCAUCCUCUGGGUUAUAGCCAAGCAAAUAUGAUUGGCUUAUCAAAUAGUUAUAAUAUUGCAGGUUUAUUUUUCCUUUGGUACCAUCUUGGUACAUUAAUUAAUAAACCUUUACCUUAUCAAAAAACAAUAAAAAUUGCAGGUUUAGAUGCUUAUUCCAUUGACAAACACUUCCAAGCUUAAAAAGGAACAAUUACCAUUUCCUUAUGGUAUCAUCCAUUAUGUAAUUUCCUCAACAAGUAUCUUGUGUUCAGAUUUUAUAAUGUGUAUGCUCCCCCUGUAUCCCCCUGUACUAUCUGGUCAAUGCAAAAGCUAAGAAUGUUAGCCUGAGCUAACUGUAGAUCUGUCGAAGCUGAAUUCUAGGUAAUAAUCCUACUGCCUUCAUAGACCUACUGGGUCUGUUGAAAGAGAUUGGUUCUGAAAUCUUAAUUUGUAUACCUUGAACAAACUAACCAACCAAAAUCGAUUAGUUUUUGGCUGGACUGCUCUUGUAACAUUUCUCUGAAUGCUACAGCAGUUCUUCUGCUCUUGUUAUGUAGUCAAGCAGCUAUUCUGUUGGUUCCUUUCUUUUUAUGAUUAAUAAAAUAUUGUAUAUCUUACCAGGUGAUCCUCUUUAUGUUUCUGGCGGGCAACCAAAGUGCUUUGAUCCUGAAUUAAUGGAUGAAAGUUUUGAGAAAGAUGGGUAUGGAAUUAGAGUUCUGUUUGUCGCAUUUUUUUAAAAUAUUAAUUAGUCCCUCGGUCAGACAUCUUAUUGUUUUCAUGGUAGUAAAUACUAGUUUUGUGUGCUAUUUAUAGUACCCUGCUUCCACAGCUUUAUCAUAUUAAAGCAAGGAAGUAGUAAUCAACAGCCCUUUUUCAUGACAGUUAUGGACAACAAGCUUACAGAUUUCUCUAAAAGCAUAUAAAUUAUGCCUAUUUUGACGAAAAGAAGCUUUAUUCUUUAUGCUAAUUUUGAAGAUAGUCAAAUUACUUAAAAUUGAGACAGAAAAUACCUGAGCUUUUUUGUUUUGUCUAAUCACUUUAAAUAAUAACAAUAGUUGCUGAUGCUGCUAAUAUCGUGACCUGAAUUUAGUUGGCUUUACUUUUUCAUUAGCGGCUAUCAAAGACCUGAGAAUCCUGUUCCUGGAGACUGUGGAUAUAACCUGCAUGCACAUCAAAUAGUUCUUAUACACCCAAUCACAAAUGAGGUUAGUUGUUUUUCACAAUAUUGUUUUAGAAGCCAGUAAUUUCAAUUCUAGUCAUUACCUAGCCACAAAAAAAUAAAAAUUGUACGUUAGUCAUUUGCAGUUUUACAUAACUGAUCAGAGGAAUACUUAACUAAGAUGCUUGUUUUGAUGUUUAGCAGUUAGCCAUAUAUCCUCUAAUAAUUCUUUUAAAAUGAAAGCUAUGGAUGAAUAAAAGUUUUGCUACCUAGAUUAAACAAGUAAAUUCAAUAUAUUGCUCCAUUAAGCCCCACUAAUUGCUCGUUUUAUUGGACAAAAUUUUGCAUGUAAGGCCUUCAAUAUGCACAGAUUAAAUGAAUCUAACCUCUCCCUUGAAACCUAAAGAAGGGAAGUUUUCCAAACGAGUCCCAAGAGUAUGACCUUAGUCAUGAUCUGAUUCUCGUUCUGUCAAUUAUUCUCAUUUGAUCCUCAAUUUUUUGCAUUUGACUCUAAAUAAUCCUUCCAAUUACUGUUGAUAAUCUAAACAAUGACUUGUCUAUCGCCCUCAAACUGCUUGGUGAGAAAUAAGAGACAUGGGAGAGAGAUUUGGGAGAAAGCAUGAGACAAAUGUCUUAUACCUGGGUUGUUUUAUAUUCAUGCUUUUCAAAGUAUACAAUUACAUCUCCCGAUGUAGAGCACUUAUACAACCUAUAUAACACUCUCCCUCAAGAUGGUGUAUUGAAAUCUAUGUUUAUAAUUAGCUCAAAGACCGUCGAGGGACUUGGUGAUUUGACCUUAUAAGUUGUGUGACAAUAUGUAUUAUGUCCCGAGAGAAAAGACAAAAUAACAAAUGAUUUCUGGGUGCUUGGGGUCCUCUCUUUUGGAGUAAAUGCAAUAUGAAUUGACUUGAUUAUUACGCAUAAGUCCAUCCAAUCGUUCUCUCUGAACUUCAGCUUUCUUAGUCGAUUAAUUCAUCAUUCAUAUGAAUUUCAUAAGUUGUAGUACUAUGACUCAAUAAUCUGCUUUUGCAUUGGAUCUUGAAACCACAUUUUGUUUCUACUCUACCAAGAUACCAGUUAGAAAGCAUUAUUUGGAAGUAUAACGUCUUAAAAUUGAUCUGCUCAAUGUGCCCGUGUACGCAACAGUUUUCUCAAUCCUCAUAGUGCAUUACUUUUCAUGGAGUAGAUUUAUAUGAACGAUGCGAAUCACUGCAUCCCAAUAGGUGCACACUGCACACAGAGAAUCCAAGAGUUAAUUUACAAUGCUUAUUGAGAACAUAAUACCAGGUCAAGUUAUGAUGGGAUAGUUUAACUUUUUGAUCAACCUCCUGGAAAACGAAGAUGCUCCCCUUCACCCGCUAUAAGCUUAACAUACACAUGAUGUCAAUAGGCGUAACAUCUGUCAUGCCUAUGUCUUCAAGAAUAUCGAGAGCAUACUCCCUCUAUGAAUUGGCAAUACCUAAUCGGGAUUGUGGUGAGUGCUUAGGAAUACCUCAAUGUAACUUGCCUAGAUCAUGGUACAAGAAUACUGACUGAAUGAUGUUUCAAUUUGGUAAUGCCUCCAAAUCCUUACACGCAUUUCAUCCACAUACAUUACCAAAUAUAGUGAUCAAAGCACAAGAACACUGAAUGAUCAACUUUCAUUGUGGGUUAUGCCAAACUCCUUAAUAACUGUGCUAACUUGCCAAUCCAUGAUUGAGGUGAUUGUUUCAAAUCAUAUAGUGAUCAAAGCACAAGACCACUAUACUUCGUUUGAGCAACAAAACUUGGUGGUUUCUCCGUGUAUACUUAUCUUCAAGUUCUUGAUGGAGAAAUGCAUUUUCUGAUGUCAGUUGAUGAAGAGACCAAUCACAAACAACAAUGAUGGAUAGGAAAAAACUAAUAGAAGCAAUCCUAGCCACGGGAGAGAAUAUAUCAUUAUAGCUAGUACAAAAAUCAGUGCAUAACAUUUGGCAACCAAAUGUGCCUUAAGCCGAUUAACCUGUCCUUAAAGAUUAACCUUCACUAACAUAACACACAUUGGCAACCAACAAUUGAUUUACCUAGAAGUAGGAAUGAGCUCCAAGAUAUCACUAGAGUGUAAAUCUAACAUAUCUAAAACAUAAAUUGUGACCGGACGAAAUCAGAAAAAGUUUCUUCUCUAGAUUUAGCAUUGAAAUAAAGGACAAAUACGACCCAAAAAGGCAUGACGGGUAAUGACAAACAAUGUUUACUCAACAAUAUAUACGGUCACAACAAUUACGAGUAGUAGGAUACCUUUGUAAAUAACCACUAGUGAGUUAUGUGUAGGUGACAAGCUGUAGGCGAAGGAUCCGAUGCAAGAUGUGAAUCAUCCAAACAUAGCAUAGGACGCUAGCAAUGAGGAUAAGUCAAAAGUGUUGAUCUUUACAAACAAAAAAAAACAAGGUCAACAGUAUCUAUGUUGUGAAGAGAGAUGGAGGAUAAAUGUAGAAUCUUCUAGUGGUAUUGCUGGUAAAACCAUGGAGGUGUUGAGAUGUUCAAAGGGAGGUAUCAGAUGAGGCUAAAUUUCAAGAAGGUGAUAUCAGCCAAUAGAAGGUAUAAAACAUCUUUGUUCAAAAGUUACAAGGACGGAACAUCUAAUUGUAUAAGUAGCGUGCGAAUGGUCUCAGUGAGAUAGAUAUUCUUCCUUUUGACUUCCAAAUAUAAGAAGAGGUAUAAUAAAGGAGAUGGCUAAUGAGUAAUUUGAUGAGAGUUCAUAAACUAAUGUAAUAUGGAAAACAAAUGUGCAAUUUUUAGAAGUCAGGAGCUGUGUAUUUUGCAAGGUGGGGGCAGGAGGGGAAUGUGCAGUUUUGAGAAGUUUAGAGAGGAGCCAAAAUCGACGCCGAUUGCCAACCAUCACUUGCAAGCUCCCACGGAUUGACCCAAAGGCCAAGUCAGUUUCUAGGAUAUUCUAUUGUUGAAUAGGGAUGGUGGGAAGCUAGGACAUGUACGGAUCCUAAGUUUUGUUUAAUUUAGCACACUAAUCACCCACCAGCUUCAUAGCUGAGUUUGAUAUGCUUGAAGGGUAUAAGCAGUAGUCUUAGUCUUUGCUUUUACUCUUAUAGAUGUCAAGAUUUUUUGUUUGAUGUUGUAUUCGGAGCGAAUGCCACGCGUGGGGAAUGAGAAAAUGAAAGGGUUGUGGAAGGGCAAUUAGUAGGGAUGAAGUGUGGGAAGGAGACUGGCGAGGUAAAAGAGGGUGGAUGUCAGGUUAUAGUGGUGCUCCGAGAGAGGGAGGGAUGGCUCCAAAUGCCUUUUUUCAAUGUGAUUUUCUUUUGCCUAUUUUUUUUCCAAGUUUGGCCUUUCAUUUUUUUCCAUUAUUUUGUUUCUUUUGUAAAAUUACCCUUCUAGCCUCGAAAUGCAUCCACAUGAGAGAUUGGAAAAUUGCUAUUAUUUGGCUGGUUGGUGUAUGGAAGGAUCAUUCAAAAACAAAUAUGAUUGAUUAGAGAUUUAAACAAGGGAAAAGAGCCAAAAUUACCCCUAAACUAUUAAAAAUAGAGCAAUCAUGCCCUCGUCUAAUAUGGUCCCAAAUGUACCCUCGCCAUUAGUCAAAUGGCUCAU